rnacentral:rRNA from 1 species
GAGGCGAAGGCGAUCUGUUGGGCUUGACCUGACGCUGAGGUGCGGAAAGCCAGGGGAGCAAACGGGAUUAGAUACCCCGGUAGUCCUGGCCAUAAACGAUGUCCACUAGAUCGGUGAACUUCUGACAGUGUGCCGGUCGAAACAAAAGCGUUAAGUGGACCGCCUGGGGAGUACGGUCGCAAGGCUAAAACUCAAAGGAAUUGACGGGGGCUCACACAAGCGGUGGAGCACGUUGCUUAAUUCGAUGCAACGCGAAGAACCUUAUCCUGGGCUUGACAUGCUUGGAUGCCCAUCUGGAAACAGAGUAGGCUGCCCUUCGGGGUGAAACUUGCACAGGUGCUGCAUGGCUGUCGUCAGCUCGUGUCGUGAGAUGUUGGGUUAAGUCCCGUAACGAGCGAAACCCUUGUCGUUAGUUGCCAGCGCGUAAUGGCGGGGACUCUAGCGAGACUGCCGGUGUUAAACCGGAGGAAGGUGGGGAUGACGUCAAGUCCUCAUGGCCUUUAUGCCCAGGGCUGCAAACGUGCUACAAUGGCGAGGACAAACCGACGCAAAGCCGCGAGGUCGAGCAAAUCGGAGAAACCUUGCCCCAGUUCGGAUUGGAGUCUGCAACUCGACUCCAUGAAGUCGGAAUCGCUAGUAAUCGCGUAUCAGCGUGACGCGGUGAAUAUGUUCCUGAGCCUUGUACACACCGCCCGUCAAGUCAUGGAAGCUGGGAGCGCCCGAAGUCGGGGUA